ACUCCUACGGGAGGCAGCAGUGGGGAAUAUUGCACAAUGGGCGCAAGCCUGAUGCAGCCAUGCCGCGUGUGUGAAGAAGGCCUUCGGGUUGUAAAGCACUUUCAGUAAGGAGGAAAGGUUAGUCACUAAUAUUGGCUAGCUGUGACGUUACUUACAGAAGAAGCACCGGCUAACUCCGUGCCAGCAGCCGCGGUAAUACGGAGGGUGCGAGCGUUAAUCGGAAUUACUGGGCGUAAAGCGUACGCAGGCGGUUUGUUAAGCGAGAUGUGAAAGCCCCGGGCUCAACCUGGGAACUGCAUUUCGAACUGGCAAACUAGAGUGUGAUAGAGGGUGGUAGAAUUUCAGGUGUAGCGGUGAAAUGCGUAGAGAUCUGAAGGAAUACCGAUGGCGAAGGCAGCCACCUGGGUCAACACUGACGCUCAUGUACGAAAGCGUGGGGAGCAAACAGGAUUAGAUACCCUGGUAGCGAGU
rnacentral:rRNA from 1 species